GAUGAACGCUGGCGGCGUGCCUAAUACAUGCAAGUAGAACGCUGAAGGAGGAGCUUGCUCUUCUGGAUGAGUUGCGAACGGGUGAGUAACGCGUAGGUAACCUGCCUGGUAGCGGGGGAUAACUAUUGGAAACGAUAGCUAAUACCGCAUGACAACAGUUAUUGCAUGAUAACUGUUUAAAAGGGGCAACUGCUCCACUACCAGAUGGACCUGCGUUGUAUUAGCUAGUUGGUGAGGUAACGGCUCACCAAGGCGACGAUACAUAGCCGACCUGAGAGGGUGAUCGGCCACACUGGGACUGAGAAACGGCCCAGACUCCUACGGGAGGCAGCAGUAGGGAAUCUUCGGCAAUGGACGGAAGUCUGACCGAGCAACGCCGCGUGAGUGAAGAAGGUUUUCGGAUCGUAAAGCUCUGUUGUAAGAGAAGAACGAGUGUGAGAGUGGAAAGUUCACACUGUGACGGUAUCUUAACAGAAAGGGACGGCUAACUACGUG
rnacentral:rRNA from 1 species